ACAGUUUUGGUCCUAAACUUACUGCUACUUUUAAUCAAAUUUACACAUGCAAGCAUCCACACACCAGUGAAACACGCCCUAACACAGAACAAACGGAGCAGGUAUCAGGCACAACAAAAGCCCAAGACACCAAGCUUUGCCACACCCACACGGGUCAUCAGCAGUGAUAAACAUUAAGCAAUAAGCGAACACACCAAAAUUAAAGCUUGACUUAGUUAUGGUUAACAGGGCCGGUAAACCUCGUGCCAGCCACCGCGGUUAUACGAGGGGCCCAAAGCAGCAGACUCUCGGCGUAAAUAGUGGCCAGAAUAACUACCAACACACUAAAAACUAAACAAUAGCCUAACCGUAAAACACAGGCUAAAUGAAACCAAACGUUUUUAACAACCGGUAAUUUGACCCACGAAAACUAAGAAACAAACUAGGAUUAGAUACCCUACUAUGCUUAGUCGUUAAUACGAUAUUACAACACUAAAAUAUCCGCCAGAAAACUACGAGCGAAAAGCUUAAAACUCAAAGGACUUGCGGUGCUCCACACCGACUUAGAGGAGCCUGUCCUAUAAUCGAUACUCCACGCUAAACCUCACCAAUCUUUGCCAAAUCAGCCUAUAUACCGCCGUCGUCAACCUACCUCAUGAGAGAAAAACAGUAAGUACAAAAGUUUCAAAACUAAAACGUCAGGUCAAGGUGUAGCUAAUAGAAUGGGAGAGAUGGGCUACAUUUUUUAAUAUAAAACACAACGGCAUGGUUCUAUGAAACUUCUACCUGAAGGAGGAUUUAAUAGUAAACUAACAAGAAAAAAGUUAAUUUUAAACACGCUCUGGAGCGCCGCCACACCGCCCGUCACCCUCAUCUUACACCAACACCAAUAUACAUAAACCACUACAACAACAAAGAUGAGGNAAGUCGUAACAUGGUAAGCGCACUGGAAAGUGUGCUUGGACUAG
rnacentral:ncRNA from 1 species